CUACACUUACGUCAUACACACUCCCACCAGUACCGCUGGACAUCCGAAUGGCUGUUGAGAAACAUUGGGCUGGGAUGCACUUUGAAAAGAGGCAGCGACUCAUCCAGUGGUUGUUUCACGACCUCUGCUCAUAUGGAAUGCAUCCAGGAAAGCUGUACGAGGAAGCAAGCAAAGCGUUUGUAGCAAAAUACCCCAGUUUGGCUUACAGCACUGGAACAGGAUAUGAUUCUUGGAGGGAAUCGUUGCGCUUCAAGGCGAAGUAUGAAAGGAGAAAGAUAAAGAUACAGUGUGGGGAAAUUGUGCCUAUCAAAAGGACUCACACAAGUAAAUUGACCAGUGGCGAGACAACGGCAAAAAGAAUGAGAAGACCUACUGCUGUAAGCAUCAGUUGCCUGGCGUUGGCAUGUAACAAAUCAUUUAAUUUGAAAGGUGUCUGGUACAUUUUUUUUUUUCUUCCUUAGGUUGUUGAAGUGUGGGAUGGCGAAGAUGAGAGCAGCAUCAGAAGCCACUUCACUUCCAUGAAAAAGGAGCUUCUGAAACCAAAGGCUAACUUUUCAUAUGUCACAGAUUGCAUGUUACGGACAUUCAGAACUCGACGGGACUGGAUUGAAAAGGAGUGCCCAUCAAUCCAGGCUAUCACGGAUGAAUAUCGAGCUCUGAAAUUAAGUGCCAUGCUUCACAAUGAAUUUAUGCUGCAAACAGGUGUUGACCUGAGUACAACACUGCGACCCCUACUGCGUGCAGUUGCAAAGAAGGUAAUUGAAAAAGCCCAGAAGAAAUGGCAUCUUGAGGCAUUUCUUGCGGACUUCAACAGUCGCUUGUAGGCUGCCACCGAGGACAAAAGAAAUGGUAAAGAGGCUGUUCUGCAUGAUGAUUCGAAAUCACUAAUAUAUGUUUAAUUAUGAUGAUCAUGCUGAGGAAAGUGUACUUAAUGAGUGAACUGAAGUAAAGGUAUGCGAAUGUCAUCCGUGUGGGAAU
rnacentral:lncRNA from 1 species